rnacentral:rRNA from 1 species
UGGGGAAUUUUGGACAAUGGGCGAAAGCCUGAUCCAGCAAUGCCGCGUGUGUGAAGAAGGCCUUCGGGCUGUAAAGCACUUUUGUCCGGAAAGAAAUCCUUGGCUCUAAUACAGUCGGGGGAUGACGGUACCGGAAGAAUAAGCACCGGCUAACUACGUGCCAGCAGCCGCGGUAAUACGUAGGGUGCAAGCGUUAAUCGGAAUUACUGGGCGUAAAGCGUGCGCAGGCGGUUUGCUAAGACCGAUGUGAAAUCCCCGGGCUCAACCUGGGAACUGCAUUGGUGACUGGCAGGCUAGAGUAUGGCAGAGGGGGGUAGAAUUCCACGUGUAGCAGUGAAAUGCGUAGAGAUGUGGAGGAAUACCGAUGGCGAAGGCAGCCCCCUGGGCCAAAUACUGACGCUCAUGCACGAAAGCGUGGGGAGCAAACAGGAUUAGAUACCCUGGUAGUCCACGCCCUAAACGAUGUCAACUAGUUGUUGGGGAUUCAUUUCCUUAGUAACGUAGCUAACGCGUGAAGUUGAUCCGCCUGGGGAGUACGGUCGCAAGAUUAAAACUCAAAGGAAUUGAC